rnacentral:lncRNA from 1 species
UGGAGACCCCAAAGUUGGUGUUUUUUGGAUGGUGGAGACCCCAAAGUUGGGGUUCAUUGGGUGGUGGACCCCAAAGCGGGACUUGGAGACCCCAAAGUUGGGGGGUGGGGGGUGGAGAGCCUGAAGAUGGGGGGAGUUUGGGGGGUGGAGAGCCUGAAGUGGGGGUACAUUGGGUGGUGGAGACCCCAAAGUUGGGGUACAUUGGGUGGUGGACCCCCAAGGUUGGGGUUGGAGACCCCAAAGUUGGAGUUCUUUGAGCGGUAGUGACCCCAAAGUUGGGGUUUUUUGGGUAGUAGGCCCCAGAGUUGGGGUACAUGGGGUGGUGGACCUCGAAGUUGGGGUACGUUGGGUGGUGUUGGGGUUUGUUGGGUGGUGGGCCCCAAAGUGGGGGUUGGAGACCCCAGUG